rnacentral:lncRNA from 1 species
GAAAAAUUCACUCACUCUCGUGUUUGAACUCUCUUUUAGGUUUUUUUCGAAUGAACUCACGCUCUCUUGCCUUUUACCACUCGACCUCGUCUCAAAAAUUCGUAAUUCGUCUCGAUAGACUUAAUUUGCUGCUUAAGGGUCGGUUUCAAAAUGGGUUACAAGGGAUAAUGUCGGGUGUAGGGUAGGUUGAACAAAGAAGAAAAUUGGUUUAAAAUGUGGCGUUGGGAUGGGUAAAUAAUGGUAGGAAGGGAAACUUGAUGAUCGGAGUAAUAAGUGAUAAUGAUAAAAACUCUCAAGACUUUUCACUUUUUUUUCUUUCUUCUUUUUUUUUAACUCGAUUUUUUUGUCACUUCUUUUUUUUCCUUUUUUUCGAUUUUUUUGAAUUUUUUUCCAAAUUUCUUCUCUUUUUUUUAAAUCCAAUACAAUAGUAAACUAAAUACAAGGAAGAAAAAAAUUUAAAUUCCAACUAAAUUUUUUUUUGAUUUUUUUGACUUUUUUU